ACUCCUACGGGAGGCAGCAGUGGGAAUAUUGCACAAUGGGCGCAAGCCUGAUGCAGCCAUGCCGCGUGUGUGAAGAAGGCCUUCGGGUUGUAAAGCACUUUCAGUUGUGAGGAAGGUGGUGUCGUUAAUAGUACGCAUUAUUUGACGUUAGCAACAUGAAGAAGCACCGGCUAACUCCGUGCCAGCAGCCGCGGUAAUACGGAGGGUGCGAGCGUUAAUCGGAAUUACUGGGCGUAAAGCGCAUGCAGGUGGUUUGUUAAGUCAGAUGUGAAAGCCCGGGGCUCAA
rnacentral:rRNA from 1 species